rnacentral:rRNA from 1 species
UAAUCGGCGCAGGGUGAGUCGGCCCCUAAGGCGAGACCGAAAGGUGUAGUCGAUGGGAAACGGAUUAAUAUUUCCGUACCUUGGAUAGCUGCGAUGGAGAGACGGAGAAGGCUAGGUGAGCCGGGCGACGGUUGUCCCGGUUUAAGCGUGUAGGGAGUGGACUUAGGCAAAUCCGGGUCCACAAUUCUGAGACGCGACGACGACUGCUCUUUGAGAGCGGGAAGUCAUUGAUGCCCUGCUUCCAGGAAAAUCUUCUAAGCUUCAGGCUAUUCGAGACCGUACCCCAAACCGACACAGGUGGUCAGGUAGAGAAUACCAAGGCGCUUGAGAGAACUCGGGUAAAGGAACUAGGCAAAAUGGUGCCGUAACUUCGGGAGAAGGCACGCUGGUGGUAGGUGAGACCCCUUGCGGGUGGAGCUGACGCCAGUCGAAGAUACCAGGCCCCUGCGACUGUUUAUUAAAAACACAGCACUGUGCAAACACGAAAGUGGACGUAUACGGUGUGACGCCUGCCCGGUGCCGGAAGGUUAAUUGA